UGUUUAUGCGCAACGUACCAACGAGGUGAC
rnacentral:sRNA from 1 species